rnacentral:rRNA from 1 species
UACGUAGGGUGCAAGCGUUAAUCGGAAUUACUGGGCGUAAAGCGUGCGCAGGCGGUAAUGUAAGACAGGUGUGAAAUCCCCGGGCUUAACCUGGGAACUGCAUUUGUGACUGCAUUGCUGGAGUGCGGCAGAGGGGGAUGGAAUUCCGCGUGUAGCAGUGAAAUGCGUAGAUAUGCGGAGGAACACCGAUGGCGAAGGCAGCCCCCUGGGUCAAAACUGACGCUCAUGCACGAAAGCGUGGGGAGCAAACAGG